CAGCCCGCGCGCGUCACCUCCGCACGCGGCCGCCGCUCUGCAAGUUCGCCGCCGCCUCCGCACGCACACACGUGCGCGGCAUGGAGGAGGAGCUCGGGGAGUACAUCACGACGACGAUGGGCGCACCGUGCACGCCGGCAGGCUGGUCGAGGCCAUCGGAAUCGACCCACUCCACGCUGGCAAGCCCAAGCUGCCAUGUUGGUACUGACAGGUGGGCCGUGGGCCCCACCGGUCAAAAACAUCAUUAAGACGACGAAACUCAGGUGUAGAUCAGGCCAUGAUUGGAACUUCGGAGCCAGAUUUUGCCUGCUCUUAGUAAAUGGUACUGUGCGCACCGUGUCAUUGCUCCUUGACAGAUCACAAGCAUAAUCGGUUGUAUCAAUUUCUCUACUUUUCUAGAUGCUUAUACAUCUCAUGGCAUUUCGAAGCCCAGAUGUAAGGAGUUAUUGUCCAAAGACUGAUUGAACCAGCAACGCUAUGGCCCAGUCUUCCCACUGUAUCUCGGCCAAAACAAGGCUCAACAAUGGCCAAGGCCUUCCAUUCCAA